CCUGCCCCUGGAGGCCUUGCGGGUGCGGCUUGUGUCAUGUGUGUGGCAGUAGGUGGCAGAGUGGAGGGAGGCUGCGUCUACACCCAGCGUUCUGACCUGUGAACAUCUGAAUGAUUAGUAGCCUAACACU
ensembl:snoRNA